GGUCCUGCGGGACGCAGCAGUGAGGAAUAUUGGUCAAUGGGCGAGAGCCUGAACCAGCCAAGUCGCGUGAAGGAUGACGACCCUAUGGGUUGUAAACCUCUUUUGUCGGGGAGCAAGACCCGCCACGAGUGGCGGAGCGAGAGUACCCGAAGAAAAAGCAUCGGCUAACUCCGUGCCAGCAGCCGCGGUAAUACGGAGGAUGCGAGCGUUAUCCGGAUUUAUUGGGUUUAAAGGGUGCGCAGGCGGACCAUCAAGUCAGCGGUAAAAUCGUGGGGCCCAACCCCAUCCCGCCGUUGAAACUGGCG
rnacentral:rRNA from 1 species